rnacentral:lncRNA from 10 species
AUACCCACCUCGGAAAGACUUGGUCCGAGCUGUGUCCAUCCAGACGGGCUACCUCAUCCAGAGCACAGGGCCCAAGAGCUGCGUCAUCACCUACCUGGCCCAGGUGGACCCCAAAGGCUCCUUACCCAAGUGGGUGGUGAAUAAAUCUUCUCAGUUCCUGGCUCCCAAGGUGAGUGGCCUUGGGAUUUUGGGGAGGGGUGUUGAAGACUGGAAAGAGGACUAUGGAAUGAGGUGGGUGGAGUCAAGCCUGGAGCCUGAGGGCCAGGCGUGGUGGCUCAUGCCUGUAAUCCCAGCACUUUGGGAGGCCUUGGCAGGUGGAUUACCUGAGGUCGGGAGUUCAAGACCAGCCUGGCCAACAUGGUGAAACCCUGUCUCUACUAAAAAUACAAAAAUUAGCUGAGUGUGAUGGUGGGUGCCUGUAAUCCCAGCUACUCGGGAGGCUAAGGCAGGAGAAUCACUUGAACCUGGAAGGCAGAGGUUGCAGUGAGCCGAUAUCAUGCCACUGCACUCCAGCCUGGGCCACACAGUGAGAUUCCGUCUC